UUUGUGCAGUACCCUCACCCCUUGAUUUUUCGCGUGCCAUAAUCCGUUUUUCGAAUAAUCAUCUACCAAAAAAGUUAUCCCAAUUUCAAAUCCGGGAACGCUUGUGACGUCAUUUUUCGAAGACGUCCCAGUUAGCAUUUUAUCUUCGGAGAAAAACCCUGAAAAAUCCCGCGCCUACGCAUCGUUUAAAAAUAUUAUGACAAUAUCUUCACAAAAACUAAACUAAAUAAAUUUUGUGAGGAUAUUUUGAAAAUGUUAUGAGAAUAUCCCGUCCGCAGUUGCACGGGUUACAUAAUCGCCCAUUUGAAGGCGCUACAAAAACUGCUCGCUUUCUGGUGGCGCUUGUCAAGUGUCAACAUGUCAACUCACAACAAAACAAUCGUAGCGCCGGCCACUGGAAAUCAUGUUGUGUCCUCUUUUAGUGGACAAACCUGUUAUUUCUGUUUCCCUUCAUUCCUGUUGGUUCAAUCACAAUGGCAACAACAUCAAUUGUAAAUGUGAUAAGCUCCCAAUAGUCAAGGUAUCUUCGUCUGGGGUUACAAUGAAUUGGAAUCGAUAAAUCCCAACAAGAAAUAAUUUCUCGUAAAUGUAUGUCUGCUGCUUUGUACCAAAUUUAAUUAUUUUCAAGAGUGUUUCAAAGAUUCUCAAAAACUGUUGAACUACCUGCUAGUAUUCAUUUAUUUUGUUCCUAUGAUUGCUACUACAUUUUAAAUACUGAGUAUGAAUAAAGCUUCUUUUGUUCUUGAAAUUUUGCUUUCAACGACUGUUUUCCAAUCGUACCUACUGUUUAAUUCCAUGGAAAAUGGAGAUAGGUACCAAUGCAUAUCAUGUGUAAAAAAGGAAUCAUACAAAUAAGUAUUCUCUUUUAACAGCUAAAACCAUGCCCUUUUCAAGGCAAGCUGGUCGACAGCAGCUCAGUUUGGUAUUACGUAUGCAAAUAAUCUCGUUUUGAAUCUCUCUGAAAAAAUUUUAUACCUAACUUUUUACGUAUAAAAUGAGUCAGCUACAGCCAUACAAGUAGGUGUCAAAUUGCAAUGCCAUGCAACAUGAAAGAAUCGCAAAAUUUUGAGAAAAAAUAUUGUUCAUUGAUACUUGCAACGUCUUGAUGCAAUCGUGUUUUCAUGGAUUUGAAUGUUGUUUUUAACGACGAAUUUUCAUCUUAAAAUUUCGGCUAUUGAAAGGAAACACCUGUUUUUUAUCCAUCCUAGUGGUUUUCGAUUAUACGCAUGUUUUUUCUGCUUUCCUCAAGGACAACAGAAAAACAUAUCGCUUCCCUUU
rnacentral:lncRNA from 1 species